GCACGGUGUCAUGGUUACGCUGAGGAGGCAUCACGCUGUCCCUGUCAUCAGGCAGCACGUGUUUCAAAGAGACUGACAUUUUCUCACAGCUGUGCUUUGUUCACUGUGGACUCAACUCACCACCUGACUCCCAACAUGCCAAGUUCAGAAUGUACGUUAAAGAAAUGCAUUGAGGUAACAAAUUGAGGUACUGUUUACUAAUCUGGACGCAGAGGCAAAGGGCUGUGUCUCUGAAUUCAAGGCCAGUCUGGUCUACGUAGUGAGUUCCAGUUCAGCCAGGGUUAUAGAAAGAGACUCUGCCUCCAAAAAAAAAAAAGAAAAAAGAAAAAAAGAUAAUUCUCUUGCCUCAAUUAAGAAUAGGGCCAUCUCUACAGUUUUAUGCCAGUUUUAGGAUAGCAUGGUCCUUUGGCAAGCUUACUCUAUAACGCACAGAGCAUUUUGGUGUGGUCCUCCAAGACAACUAGUCGUAUGUAACUAAGUCGUAUGUAUGUAUGUCUGUCUGUCUAUGAUCAGAACUUCCGUUUUCAUAGCUAUGGUGUAACAGCUGGAAUUUUAUGUUCACUAUUUUGGUUACACUUCUGUAAUUAAUGUGAGCAAGGAAAAAGAACCAAGAAAGGUCUACUCUGAAGGAACAGUAUGCACGGAGGGUACAAGAGGCUGGGUGUUCAAGACCUGCACUGACAGGACGGACACCUAGAGUGUUUAAUGUCUCUCAAGGUGAAGCUUUCCCUGCAGAGUUGAGCUAGAUUAAUACCUGUCACCCUCUGAGAUAACUUGACUUUGAGUGUCACGGUCAGGUGGUUUUGUUUGAUGAGAUCCCAGCAUAGCCCUCCCUCCAGAACAUGUGCACAUUAACUCCUUACCACUGAGUCAUAAUUCAGUGAGGUCUGCUCACACUUUACCUUCACUGCCUUUGAUGUGUUCCUGCCGCAGGGCUGGAGGUAGCACAGCCUCUUCUCCGUUCUCAUUUCACAGUUGCCGUUGUCGUUGGUUACGCGGUUAGAGAUCCCCAUCCCGCACGUUCUGGAGCAGGGGGUCCACUUUGUUGCUUGCACAAGACAUUUUUUCUUCCAACUUGUCACAUCCCCUGUCAGGCCCCCAGUAUUCUCUACACUCGCCACUUAAAAUCACCUGUGAGAUACUCAGGGAAGCAACUGCGCAUGAGCCGUGAGUGGGGAACUGGACACCCCUCCCUGCACCCUCUGCCUGCUGCUCAGAAGAAACCAGAAAGAAGACAGAUAAUGUUCCAUCUCUGUGAAAAUCCAUUACGGGACUGUUGUACUCCAGUGGACCAGACCCUUGGCUCAAAUUAGUAAACAGCAUUGCUUUAAUGUA